rnacentral:rRNA from 1 species
UACGUAGGGUGCGAGCGUUGUCCGGAAUUAUUGGGCGUAAAGGGCUCGUAGGCGGUUUGUCGCGUCGGGAGUGAAAACUCAGGGCUUAACCCUGAGCCUGCUUUCGAUACGGGCAGACUGGAGGUAUGCAGGGGAGAACGGAAUUCCUGGUGUAGCGGUGAAAUGCGCAGAUAUCAGGAGGAACACCGGUGGCGAAGGCGGUUCUCUGGGCAUGUCCUGACGCUGAGGAGCGAAAGUGUGGGGAGCGAACAGG